rnacentral:rRNA from 1 species
UACGAAGGGGGGCGAGCGUUGUUCGGAUUUACUGGGCGUAAAGGGCGCGCAGGCGGCGAGUUUUGUCAGGCGUGAAAGCCCCGGGCUCAACCUGGGAAUUGCGCUUGAAACGGGCUUGCUAGAGAUCGGGAGAGGAGAGUGGAAUUCCCAGUGUAGAGGUGAAAUUCGUAGAUAUUGGGAAGAACACCGGUGGCGAAGGCGGCUCUCUGGACCGAUACUGACGCUGAGGCGCGAAAGCGUGGGGAGCAAACAGG